GUGGAGCAUCUCAGCUGAAUAAGCCUUCAACCUUAUCUAGCCGCAUCCAAGGGUGAAUAGAUUGUUCCAACAUGACUCUACUGAUAGAAAAUUCCUUUUGUUUUUCAAAUAUUCAUUUAAAUUUUACCUUCCUCUGUGCCAGUUCUGAAGAGCUGGAGGAAAGGUCAGUCCUAAGGACUGAAAUGUAGCUUCCUCCUGUGCAGUGCAAAGGCUCUCAAGGCAGACGAAAACACAGCAAGAGGAGCAAAGAGAAAUCUCUCUACAGCCUGAAGAUGUCAAUCUGUGACUGGCAGUGUUUGGAAUAACACAGAGAACUUCUAAGUUCUGCCUGGAAGGUCCUUCAGGGCUGAGCAGGGAGUCCUGCUUGAAAAGCAUCCUGAUGCUUCGUAGAAAAGGGUGUGUUUGUAUUUAUGUGGACACUUACGUGACUGCAUCAUCCUUUGGUAGCUGCAAGGAAAUUUGAGCCCCAGGCACCUUAUCCAGAGUCCUUCCUGGGCUGGGCUAUAGACGAAUGGUUGUACCCACAGCAGAAGGAAGGCGAAGGGUCCAAACAGCAGCUCUGCAAAGCCUUGUGUCAGGGAAGUAGGCAGAAACAAAGCUGGAGGUCCCUGCUGUGGUGGCUGUCCAAAACUGAUGUAGCGAUGUUGUUUACUGCCAUGGGUGGACAGGAGGGAAAACGCAUGGUGGUUUUGGCGUGGUACACUUUGGACAGAUUAGAAAAUACUCUGCUAAUUAGGGGAAUUCCAGGCAUGUACAGGAAGCAUAUUUCAAUAACCCAUGAUUAUGUUGGGUUUCAUGUAAAGCUAUUUGUUUGGCUGCCAAAGUGUUUUAUGGUGUGAUGCCAACUAUAAUAUAUUCAGAACACAAGCUAAAAACUCUAAACUUUGAUGCUUGAUGAGUUCAUAGGAUGGGAACACAAAGACAAAGAACCUUGAAAACCUCAACAUGAAUAAUUAAGGUAAAUAGACAGACUGUUCUGUAUAGUGAUUAAAACGUAAGUAACUUUUGGGCAUUACAUAGCUAUCCAGAAAUUCAAAACUUUUUAAAACAAAAGCAUGUACUGUAGUAUCUCUAUUAUCUAACUAUAACACUACACAAUUUAUUAUGAGCUGACUUGCUUGUUCUCCUUUGUGGAAUGAGCACGCUGCCAUUCCAACAUAUUUCCAGCCUCAGAGAAAUACUGGCAUCCUUUAAAAAUACAUUGAAAUAAAAGUCACCUGCAUGUGAAAUUUUUCA
ensembl:lncRNA